rnacentral:rRNA from 1 species
UUAAGCGACUAAGCGUACACGGUGGAUGCCCUGGCAGUCAGAGGCGAUGAAGGACGUGCUAAUCUGCGAUAAGCGUCGGUAAGGUGAUAUGAACCGUUAUAACCGGCGAUUUCCGAAUGGGGAAACCCAGUGUGAUUCGUCACACUAUCAUUAACUGAAUCCAUAGGUUAAUGAGGCGAACCGGGGGAACUGAAACAUCUAAGUACCCCGAGGAAAAGAAAUCAACCGAGAUUCCCCCAGUAGCGGCGAGCGAACGGGGAGCAGCCCAGAGCCUGAAUCAGUGUGUGUGUUAGUGGAAGCGUCUGGAAAGGCGCGCGAUACAGGGUGACAGCCCCGUACACAAAAAUGCACAUGCUGUGAGCUCGAUGAGUAGGGCGGGACACGUGGUAUCCUGUCUGAAUAUGGGGGGACCAUCCUCCAAGGCUAAAUACUCCUGACUGACCGAUAGUGAACCAGUACCGUGAGGGAAAGGCGAAAAGAACCCCGGCGAGGGGAGUGAAAAAGAACCUGAAACCGUGUACGUACAAGCAGUGGGAGCACGCUUAGGCGUGUGACUGCGUACCUUUUGUAUAAUGGGUCAGCGACUUAUAUUCUGUAGCAAGGUUAACCGAAUAGGGGAGCCGAAGGGAAACCGAGUCUUAACUGGGCGUUAAGUUGCAGGGUAUAGACCCGAAACCCGGUGAUCUAGCCAUGGGCAGGUUGAAGGUUGGGUAACACUAACUGGAGGACCGAACCGACUAAUGUUGAAAAAUUAGCGGAUGACUUGUGGCUGGGGGUGAAAGGCCAAUCAAACCGGGAGAUAGCUGGUUCUCCCCGAAAGCUAUUUAGGUAGCGCCUCGUGAAUUCAUCUCCGGGGGUAGAGCACUGUUUCGGCAAGGGGGUCAUCCCGACUUACCAACCCGAUGCAAACUGCGAAUACCGGAGAAUGUUAUCACGGGAGACACACGGCGGGUGCUAACGUCCGUCGUGAAGAGGGAAACAACCCAGACCGCCAGCUAAGGUCCCAAAGUCAUGGUUAAGUGGGAAACGAUGUGGGAAGGCCCAGACAGCCAGGAUGUUGGCUUAGAAGCAGCCAUCAUUUAAAGAAAGCGUAAUAGCUCACUGGUCGAGUCGGCCUGCGCGGAAGAUGUAACGGGGCUAAACCAUGCACCGAAGCUGCGGCAGCGACGCUGAUGCGUUGUUGGGUAGGGGAGCGUUCUGUAAGCCUGCGAAGGUGUGCUGUGAGGCAUGCUGGAGGUAUCAGAAGUGCGAAUGCUGACAUAAGUAACGAUAAAGCGGGUGAAAAGCCCGCUCGCCGGAAGACCAAGGGUUCCUGUCCAACGUUAAUCGGGGCAGGGUGAGUCGACCCCUAAGGCGAGGCCGAAAGGCGUAGUCGAUGGGAAACAGGUUAAUAUUCCUGUACUUGGUGUUACUGCGAAGGGGGGACGGAGAAGGCUAUGUUGGCCGGGCGACGGUUGUCCCGGUUUAAGCGUGUAGGCUGGUUUUCCAGGCAAAUCCGGAAAAUCAAGGCUGAGGCGUGAUGACGAGGCACUACGGUGCUGAAGCAACAAAUGCCCUGCUUCCAGGAAAAGCCUCUAAGCAUCAGGUAACAUCAAAUCGUACCCCAAACCGACACAGGUGGUCAGGUAGAGAAUACCAAGGCGCUUGAGAGAACUCGGGUGAAGGAACUAGGCAAAAUGGUGCCGUAACUUCGGGAGAAGGCACGCUGAUAUGUAGGUGAAGCGACUUGCUCGUGGAGCUGAAAUCAGUCGAAGAUACCAGCUGGCUGCAACUGUUUAUUAAAAACACAGCACUGUGCAAACACGAAAGUGGACGUAUACGGUGUGACGCCUGCCCGGUGCCGGAAGGUUAAUUGAUGGGGUUAGCGCAAGCGAAGCUCUUGAUCGAAGCCCCGGUAAACGGCGGCCGUAACUAUAACGGUCCUAAGGUAGCGAAAUUCCUUGUCGGGUAAGUUCCGACCUGCACGAAUGGCGUAAUGAUGGCCAGGCUGUCUCCACCCGAGACUCAGUGAAAUUGAACUCGCUGUGAAGAUGCAGUGUACCCGCGGCAAGACGGAAAGACCCCGUGAACCUUUACUAUAGCUUGACACUGAACAUUGAGCCUUGAUGUGUAGGAUAGGUGGGAGGCUUUGAAGUGUGGACGCCAGUCUGCAUGGAGCCGACCUUGAAAUACCACCCUUUAAUGUUUGAUGUUCUAACGUGGACCCGUAAUCCGGGUUGCGGACAGUGUCUGGUGGGUAGUUUGACUGGGGCGGUCUCCUCCUAAAGAGUAACGGAGGAGCACGAAGGUUGGCUAAUCCUGGUCGGACAUCAGGAGGUUAGUGCAAUGGCAUAAGCCAGCUUGACUGCGAGCGUGACGGCGCGAGCAGGUGCGAAAGCAGGUCAUAGUGAUCCGGUGGUUCUGAAUGGAAGGGCCAUCGCUCAACGGAUAAAAGGUACUCCGGGGAUAACAGGCUGAUACCGCCCAAGAGUUCAUAUCGACGGCGGUGUUUGGCACCUCGAUGUCGGCUCAUCACAUCCUGGGGCUGAAGUAGGUCCCAAGGGUAUGGCUGUUCGCCAUUUAAAGUGGUACGCGAGCUGGGUUUAGAACGUCGUGAGACAGUUCGGUCCCUAUCUGCCGUGGGCGCUGGAGAACUGAGGGGGGCUGCUCCUAGUACGAGAGGACCGGAGUGGACGCAUCACUGGUGUUCGGGUUGUCAUGCCAAUGGCACUGCCCGGUAGCUAAAUGCGGAAGAGAUAAGUGCUGAAAGCAUCUAAGCACGAAACUUGCCCCGAGAUGAGUUCUCCCUGACUCCUUGAGAGUCCUGAAGGAACGUUGAAGACGACGACGUUGAUAGGCCGGGUGUGUAAGCGCAGCGAUGCGUUGAGCUAACCGGUACUAAUGAACCGUGAGGCUUAACCUU